rnacentral:rRNA from 1 species
GACGAACGCUGGCGGCGUGCUUAACACAUGCAAGUCGAACGGUGAACCCCUUCGGGGGGGAUCAGUGGCGAACGGGUGAGUAACACGUGAGCAACCUGCCCCUGACUCUGGGAUAACCCCGGGAAACCGGAGCUAAUACCGGAUAUGACACGCUCGGGCAUCCGAUGCGUGUGGAAAGAUUUAUCGGUUGGGGAUGGGCUCGCGGCCUAUCAGCUUGUUGGUGGGGUAACGGCCUACCAAGGCGACGACGGGUAGCCGGCCUGAGAGGGCGACCGGCCACACUGGGACUGAGACACGGCCCAGACUCCUACGGGAGGCAGCAGUGGGGAAUAUUGCGCAAUGGGCGAAAGCCUGACGCAGCGACGCCGCGUGAGGGAUGAAGGCCUUCGGUU